GGUCAUGAGUGUGGUGAUUUGAGCCGGUCGGCUUGCAGCCACGUUAAAUAAAUGGCUAAAAAGACCGGGAGACAGCCCGG
rnacentral:ncRNA from 1 species